rnacentral:lncRNA from 1 species
GCCAUUUUCCUCUCCUUCUACAGUAAUGCUAACCAAGCAUCUUGGUGUUCUUGCUCCUAUCAAUCCUGUACCUGCCAAUCCUGUACCUGUGACUGAGGGUCCUGUUCAGGCAUGUUGAACGGCCCUAUUCUGUGAAAUGGAUUCUUUAAUAGCAGGCCUGAGUGGUGGACACCAACCAGCCACCCCUUUUUACUCAGGGUCACAUUGGUUUACCUCCAUUUUUCCUUUUCAUUUUUCUGUCUUUCCUCUCUGACUGUCCCCCUUUCCCUAGUCUCAGUCUGAUUCUUUAUUAUCCUUUUGUCCUCUUCCUCUCGACCCCACCAUCAGCCUCCCUCCCUCAGUUGGCUGGCACGCAACAAUCACUUCACCCAGGACCCACUGAGGCCACGUCACUGGAAAGGGCAGAGCCAGGGUCCCAACGUCGGAUGUUGGGAUGCUUUGGGGACUACCUUCCCACUGGUUGAUCCGUGCUGGUUGAGUGUGUGGGUGAAUUAUGUGCUUGCUGUGGGGAACAGGCAGGGCCAGACUCUCAGCAGGAAUGUAAUCCGUGCCUGAUGAAGCCUCCGCCCUCUAAGCACCUUUUGUUCCUCAAAUCCCACUUUGUGGGUUGAUAUUACAGUGUGAGGAGUGAGUAGCUGGACUACCAGCAUGUUUCUUCUUCUAAUUCAUUUAACACACACACAUCUAUCUUCUGCUAAGAUAUACAAGGAUGAGAUAAAUGGGAACAUAAGGAUCAUAUUGUACUUGAGUUAUAUCAUUGCUGACUUCCUGAGAAGCCUGUUCAAACGACCAGAGGAUGUUAACUAAAUUGACAAUGUGUUUCUCUGAGGUGGAAGUGAGCAAAACAUCUGCUUUUAUAAUAGUCUGCUUGCCUGGAUAGGCAUGUACCGUUUUGUUGUUCCAGAAGAUUUUCAAGCAAAUACACUGGUGAGUUUCAAU